rnacentral:rRNA from 1 species
GCGGCGGACGGGUGAGUAAUGCUUAGGAAUCUGCCUAUUAGUGGGGGACAACAUCUCGAAAGGGAUGCUAAUACCGCAUACGUCCUACGGGAGAAAGCAGGGGAUCUUCGGACCUUGCGCUAAUAGAUGAGCCUAAGUCGGAUUAGCUAGUUGGUGGGGUAAAGGCCUACCAAGGCGACGAUCUGUAGCGGGUCUGAGAGGAUGAUCCGCCACACUGGGACUGAGACACGGCCCAGACUCCUACGGGAGGCAGCAGUGGGGAAUAUUGGACAAUGGGGGGAACCCUGAUCCAGCCAUGCCGCGUGUGUGAAGAAGGCCUUUUGGUUGUAAAGCACUUUAAGCGAGGAGGAGGAGCUCUUGGUUAAUACCCAAGAUGCUUGGACGUUACUCGCAGAAUAAGCACCGGCUAACUCUGUGCCAGCAGCCGCGGUAAUACAGAGGGUGCAAGCGUUAAUCGGAUUUACUGGGCGUAAAGCGCGCGUAGGUGGCCAAUUAAGUCAAAUGUGAAAUCCCCGAGCUUAACUUGGGAAUUGCAUUCGAUACUGGUUGGCUAGAGUAUGGGAGAGGAUGGUAGAAUUCCAGGUGUAGCGGUGAAAUGCGUAGAGAUCUGGAGGAAUACCGAUGGCGAA